UUAAAAAUAUAUAUAUAUUAAAAUAAGUUUCAAAUGAACUUACUUUCUUUUGAAGGAAGUGGAUUUUUCUCUUGUGUUUCUGUCUUCUUCAGCUUGUUCUUAUCGAAUUUCUCAAUCUCAGCCAUAUCUGGUUUGUCAGACAUUUUGUUGGAUUAUCUGUACAAAAGAUGAAAAAAGAAAAAGGAAAUGAAAUUAGAGUGUAUUGCAAAAAUAAAAAUUUAACAAAAAAAUUCUCUUUUUUUUGUUACUAGGCAGCCACGCCCUCUCCAAGUUCUACAUUCUGAAGAUAUUUCCUUUUCGCCUCUCCUCUAAAUUCUAUUGUCUGUACACAACUAGAUGCAAUAUAUAUUUAUAAAAUAUAAUAUAAUAAUGGUACUUUUUUCUAUGCAUCGUUAAAAAAAAAAAUGAAAAAAAUGCAAAACACAUAAAUUAUUAUCUGCGUAGAUGGAAAGAAAAAAAUACAAAUAAGUUGAAGCACUACAUAUAAUUAUACCCAUAUCAUUCAGACUUUGCCCUUCUAUUGUCUAGUGAUGUGAUCAAAUCAAUAAGUUGGACCUAUGCCAGAUCAGAGCAGUGUCACUCUAUGCUAAUCAUCAAGCAUACUCAGGGGUCUGCUGCCUCGCUCCCUCCCUGUAGAUGAAGUCAUGCAUUUUUCUCUGUACAAAGAACUGCAGCUAAAAAACCAAGGAGUCUUAAACCACCGCCCUGUUCUGUUUCAGCCCCCGCUCUUCUCCAAUGCAAUUUAACGCAGAACAGAUUUACAAGCACAAAGAAUUUUUUUUUUAUAGAGAAGAAAUCUUUGGAGCUAAACAUCAAAUAGCCAUUUUCAAUCUAGAGGAGAAAAUAGCCAGAUGCCCUAAUAACUGGCAACGCAUGGCUAAUCUCUGGCUUUCACAAAACUGGAUCUUGGAAAGAUUAAAUGUCAAUCUUUAUGUAUUCUUUUUAAAGAAAACAAGUUACAAAAUCAGCGUGCAAAUGAGAUAAGCGCCAAAUAUGCUAUUUUACAUGCAAAUUCUGAGGUAAUCCUCCCAGUAGCAAGGACAAAAGCAACAAAUAUUGCCUGUGGCAAAUUAAAAAAAAAUAUCAAACGGAAGCACCCAGGUUUACAAUGUUGCACACAAUAAGACAUGUUAUGGCAGAUUUCAUAUCUAGCAGCAGGGGAAUAGAAUGUAUACAUUCAGGACUUACCAGGGACUGAGCUCAGAGACAGCACAAUUCCUCACAGAUGCAGCCUUGACUAUGAGGGGAGUGAAUGGAACCAGCUCUUAUAUCAGCUCCUCUAUGCAAAUGACACUGACAACGUCACCCAGUUUGGGCUUAACUCUUUCUCUCCCCUCUAAUCUGCUAGUCAUGAUUCCUGU